GUGAGACAGUUCGGUCCCUAUCUGCCGUGGGCGUUGGAAGAUUGAGAGGGGUUGCUCCUAGUACGAGAGGACCGGAGUGAACGCACCACUGGUGUUCGGGUUGUCAUGCCAAUGGCAUUGCCCGGUAGCUAAGUGCGGAAAAGAUAAGCGCUGAAAGCAUCUAAGCGCGAAACUUGCCUCAAGAUGAGUCUUCCCUGGACCUUUAAGGUCCCUGAAGGAACGUUUAAGACUAAGACGUUGAUAGGCUGGGUGUGUAAGUGCAGCGAUGCAUUGAGCUAACCAGUACUAAUGAUCCGUGAGGCUUAACCUUACAACACCGAAGGUGUUU
rnacentral:rRNA from 1 species